UACGGGGGGGGCAAGCGUUGUUCGGAAUUACUGGGCGUAAAGGGCUCGUAGGCGGCCAACUAAGUCAGACGUGAAAUCCCACGGCUCAACCGUGGAACGGCUGGGUAUACUGCCUGUCUUGAGCCAACUAGGGGCGAGCGGAACAGACGGUGGAGCGGUGAAAUGCGUAGAUAUCGUCUGGAACGCCAAAGGUGAAAACAGCUCGCUGGGGUUGUGCUGACGCUGAGACACGAAAGCCAGGGGAGCGAACGGG
rnacentral:rRNA from 1 species